rnacentral:rRNA from 1 species
UACGAAGGGGGCUAGCGUUGUUCGGAAUCACUGGGCGUAAAGCGCAUGCAGGCGGAUCGUUAAGUCGGGGGUGAAAGCCCGAGGCUCAACCUCGGAACUGCCUUCGAUACUGGCGAUCUUGAGUCCGGGAGAGGUGAGUGGAACUCCGAGUGUAGAGGUGAAAUCGUAGAUAUUCGGAAGAACACCAGUGGCGAAGGCGGCUCACUGGCCCGGUACUGACGCUGAGAUGCGAAAGCGUGGGGAGCAAACAGG